AUAUUUUCAUUUGUUUGCCAAAACUAUCUCUAACAUAAACAGUUUCCAUCUUGCAGCUUUGCUCAUCAUGACCCCACCUCCCACAGUUAUAGCAAAGCAAAGGAAGGUUCUCAAACCGGAUCUGAACCCACACUCUCCUUCCGUUUAUGGGAAUGAAUUUUCCUGUAAAAAUGCUGCCAAAAACAGGGAAAGCAAUACGAAUACGAGCAUAUCCAUUUAACAUGAUUCUAUCAAUGUUAGCCCAAGGUAAUUCUAAGAUCUUACCAGCCAUGCUUCCAAACCUUGUGAUAUUUGCUUUCGUGAUUGCCACAGUCGGAAACCCCGUGAGCCGAACCCAACAGGGAAUCCCGUCCAAACCAGCGUCACCCCACUCCCCUGAGCUUGGCCACUUUUCAACGAUCAUGAAACCUCCGUUGUAGUGCCAUAUUCCUUCCUCCCAAACUCUUGAAGCAUCAGCUUGAUUCUCAAAGGACAACCCGAUAUAGACGUCAUCCUCUUCCUCCAGAGAUUGAUCGACAAGGUCAUCCGUCUCUCUGCCCGACCCAACCGAUAAAUCGUGAGCUUUGGAGAUAAUAUCAUCAAUAGUAGAACCUGAGUUUGCCAUGAGCAAGCACUGUGAAGAACCAAAGAUCCAGAAACGAGAAUACCGAAAGUCACUUGGACGUGAAGAAAAACUUCUGGUCACUCAA